rnacentral:rRNA from 1 species
AGAGUUUGAUCAUGGCUCAGAACGAACGCUGGCGGCGUGGAUAAGACAUGCAAGUCGAGCGCUCAUUCGUUUGCAGCAAUGUAAACGGGUGGGAGCGGCGUAAGGGUGCGUAACGCGUGGGUAAUUUGCCGUGAAGUUGGGAAUAACUCGCUGAAAGGCGAGCUAAUGCCGAAUGUGGUUGCCUGGUGGCAUCAUCAGGUUACCAAAGUUGGGGACCGCAAGGCCUGACGCUUCACGAUAAGCCCGCGACCUAUCAGCUAGUUGGUGAGGUAACGGCCCACCAAGGCGAAGACGGGUAGCUGGUCUGAGAGGACGACCAGCCACACUGGAACUGAGACACGGUCCAGACACCUACGGGUGGCAGCAGUCGAGAAUUUUUCACAAUGGGCGCAAGCCUGAUGGAGCGACGCCGCGUGGGGGAUGAAGGGCUUCGGUCCGUAAACCCCUGUCAUUUGCGAACAAACCUCUCCCGUGAACAACGGGAGAGCUGAUGGUAGCGAAAGAGGAAGGGACGGCUAACUCUGUGCCAGCAGCCGCGGUAAUACAGAGGUCCCGAGCGUUGUUCGGAUUCACUGGGCGUAAAGGGUGCGUAGGUGGUGAGGUAAGUCGGAUGUGAAAGCUCGGAGCUCAACUCCGAAAUGGCAUUGGAAACUACCUUGCUUGAGGGUUGGAGGGGGGACUGGAAUUCUCGGUGUAGCAGUGAAAUGCGUAGAGAUCGAGAGGAACACCAGUGGCGAAGGCGAGUCCCUGGACAACACCUGACGCUGAGGCACGAAAGCUAGGGGAGCAAACAGGAUUAGAUACCCUAGUAGUCC